AGGGCUUAGUGGCAGUAGUUCCUUUCUUCUUCUCGGCAGCUGUUAACAGCAUAGUAUAUAGAACCUGAACUAUAUAAUUAUUUCAGUUAGCAUCAUUUUGAUGAAUAUCGGUCUGGUGAUGUGUGUGACCGAGUGGGAGCAUCACGUGCUGGUGUACAACUUCAUGGACACCAUGGCUCAGUCCACGUGCACCGCCCCUGGCGCCUGAUGACCACGUGAAAGUGUGGGCCGUUCGUCAUGACUGUAAAUCCGUUAGCAUUACUUGCGAAGAAGUGUGCGAUAAUGUCAGACUAAGUUGCGAUAAUUCUCUGUACGUGUACAAAGAACCGAGGCUACUAGAAGCAAAUCCUGUGCCUGGAUAUCAGCCCGAUGCGAUCACUCAGGGUCUCAGCAUCCAACGCUUCAUCAGUUCCGACGCCUGUGGCAUUUCAUCCUGUGGCCCCAACUAUUGUUGCUGUUAUGAAUCGGCCGACCCCAUACAUCCUCUGUGAAUGUAUCAGUCGUAUUUCCAUGACAUUUCAUCAGGGGUUCACGAGUACAGAUUAAACCCACUGUCAAAUCUGCAUUAAUUUGGGUGUACCUCAAUCACACACAUUUUCGUCAAAGUGUAAUGAAUGAACU